rnacentral:rRNA from 1 species
CGUAGGGUGCAGGCGUUAAUCGGAAUUACUGGGCGUAAAGCGUGCGCAGGCGGCUCCUUAAGUCAGAUGUGAAAUCCCCGGGCUUAACCGUGGGAACUGCGUUUGAAACGUGGGGAGCUCGAGUGUGGAAGAGGGGGGUGGAAUUCCAGGUGUAGCAGUGAAAUGCGUAGAGAUCUGGAGGAACACCGAUGGCGAAGGCAGCCCCCUGGGCUAACACUGACGCUCAUGCACGAAAGCGUGGGGAGCAAACAGGAUUAGAUACCCUGGUAGUCCACGCCCUAAACGAUGUCAACUGGUUGUCGGGGAAGCAAUUCCUUGGUAACGAAGCUAACGCGUGAAGUUGACCGCCUGGGGAGUACGGCCGCAAGGUUA